CCCACAUACACAAGCCCAUUGGCCAUGCUGAUCUAGUCGGUCCAUCACUGAGACUCUUCUUCCAGCUAGAUUGUGUCAAGCUGACAAACUGAAACUAGCCAUCACAUAGCGGAACCGGCCGAGAUUUUCCUAAUCCCUCAGAAGUCCCCAGAACUAAGGCGCAUCAACUUGCAUUGCCUCAUCUGACAGGAGAAGCCCCUAACAUCAUGGCACCCUGUGUCCUGAGCCCACCUGUCUCCUCCACAUGCUAGCUCAUGCGGCCACUCUGUGAUGUGACAACUGCCUGCUCCACGCUCCCACCCCCACUGCUCUCCUAACAAUCUGGGUCCCUGGAGCUAUCAGGGAUGGCCCAUGAAUCUAGUAAGGACAGAAGUUACCAAUGCAACUUGCCAAGGAAUUCUUCCAUCUGCCGUUGACCUGAGAAGGUGUCCUAGGGGAACAGCUUCCUGUCUGGACAGAACCAGAGAGAAGAGAGUACAGCCAGUAUCCACAUGUGACCAAAGGUUACCUACUGAUCAGCUGUCCAGUGUUAGGUAGAGAGAUGUUGUGUUUCCAUUAGGCUCAAGUUCUCCCAUGGAGUGUGCCAUUCCUUCACCCCUUGCACCCCACACUUUUGAACUACAUCUAAGUCUAAGUGAUUUUACCCUUAAGUGUAAAAGUAACACCAAUUAGUUAGCUGGAUGUAGCCCUUAGGAGGGACAAAGCAGGAGGAUUAUGACUUUGGAGCUAGCCUGGGCUACAUUGAAAG